rnacentral:lncRNA from 1 species
AUGGAGUGGUUGGUGUAUUGUAUAGUUUUAGGGAUUGUAUUUCACUCAAAACCCACCAAAUGACUCCUCCCACAAUAUUAUGAUGUUCCCCAAGUUUUGGACUCAAUCCGGUAUCGAUUGGGGCUUGAAAUCGGACAAUUCAGUUCCGUACGAAGUUCGUUCUGAAAUGGUGUGGUUGGUGUAUUGUAUAGUUCUAGAGAUUGGAUUUCACUCAAAACCCACCAAAUGACUCCUCCCACAAUAUUAUGGUGUUCCCCAAGUUGUGGACUCAAUCCGACAACGAUUGGGGCUUGAAAUCGGACAAUUAAGGUUCGUACGAAGUUCGUUAUGAAAUGGAGUGGUUGUAUUGUAUAGUUCUAGGGAUUGUAUUUCACUCAAAACCCACCAAAUGACUCCUCC